rnacentral:rRNA from 1 species
AUUGAACGCUGGCGGCAGGCCUAACAUAUGCAAGUCGAGCGGAGCGGCGGACGGGGGAGUAAUGCCUAGGAAUCUGCCUGGUCGUGGGGGAUAACGUCCGGAAACGGGCGCUAAUACCGCAUACUAUCAGAUGAGCCUAGGUCGGAUGGGCUAGUUGGGGGGGUAAUGGCCUACCAAGGCGACGAUCCGUAACUGGGCUGAGAGGAGGAUCAGGCACACUGGAACCGAGACACGGUCCAGACUCCUACGGGAGGCAGCAGUGGGGAAUAUUGGACAAUGGGCGAAAGCCUGAUCCAGCCAUGCCGCGUGUGUGAAGAAGGUCUUCGGAGUGUAAAGCACUUUAAGUUGGGAGGCGUUACCAACAGAAUAAGCACCGGCUAACUACGUGCCAGCAGCCGCGGUAAUAC